ACAUAGUGCAUCUUUGCUGUUACUAAGGAAUCACCAAGUAUCAUCAAGACAACAACUUAAGUGCAUAUAAAGUAUACCAAGUACUAAAAUUGGAUGCUUAAUAAGUAAGACGACAAAGAUAAUUAAAUAUGCAGAGAUACUACAAUUUGUUGCUACCAAGAUCUAAAGAAUCCCAAGAACAGAUCUUUCCGAAACAACGGAGCAAGGACUUAUGCUCUCAAGGCAGGGGACCAAAAUUUUAGUUUCUUUCAUGCAAAAGCAAACCGUAGACACCAGGUCAAUUUGAUUCGAUGGUUGCAUAAAUCUGAUGGGUCCUGGACUGAAACAAAGGAAGAGGUGCAACGGAACAUUAAUUAUUAAGUAUUUUGAGAUAUGUUUACAUCCAACAGACCACAAUCGGACGAUAUCCAGGGAGGUGUCGAGCACCUUACAGCUGUGGUGGACGAAGCUCUGGCCACUGAUCUGCAACAACCCUAUAUGGAGGAAGAGUUCGCAGUGCGUGUCAUCUUGCACCCUCUCUUGCCUCUUAGGCAAGUACAAGCGAUGGGCAAAGCUCCUCCAGAAAGCUUUGGAAGUCAAUCUGACAAGUGAAAGUUCCAAACAAAGUCAAGGUGCUCACGUGGCGAGCGAUUUGAGAUGCACUUCCAACCGCGGCCAAUCUCAAAAGGAAGUUGCCGUACGAGGAGAUUGUUUGUCCCUUUUGUACAACCAUGGACUUUAACAAUCAUCCACACACUUUUGCAAUGUUGUUUUGCGAUACAGGUUUGGGCUUUGUCUAAUUUCCAAACUUCGAGUGGUCCUGUCUGCUCUGUUGAAGAUUGAUUUUUUAACAUUUUGAAAAAGUUAUCUCCGGGAGAUUCCAAUUGUGCUCUCAUGAUCUGUUGGACGUCGUAGAUUUUGCUAGGAGUUACUUGAAUGCCUUUUUGCUACAGAAUUAUGUCAAUUCUCGCCCAUCGCAGCUCAUCAGCACUGUUGGCGGGCUCUACAUGAAAAUUAUAUCAAAAUUAAUCUUGAUGGCGCCCUUCUUGUUAGCGACAAUUCUUUGGGAAUUGGGGUGGCUGCUCAAAACUGAAUUGUGGAACUUGUUUGGCAUAGCGUUCAUUCCACCUUGAUCGGAGAGGAACAACACUUUUGGCCGAAACACUUGCAGCAAGAGAGGCAAUUCUUUUGGCCCGUCAGAAAUCUUGGCAAAAGGUGACACGCGAAAGGGAUUGAGCUAUACUUCUCUCCAAGAUCUCCCUAGCUUCAUAGGACUAUCUACUGUCGGUCCUCUGAUUUUUGACAUUGUGUCUUUUGCGACUCAUCUGGAGUCAGUUUCUUUCUCUUUUGUCUUUCAAACAGGCAAUUCAGUUGCACAUAUGUUGGCCCGUUUUGCACUUAACCUUGAAGGGGACUCUUCUAAUGUACCCCCUGAGGUGAACUCUUUGUUGAUCGGCAAUGUUGGCAAUUAAUAUAGUCCCAAGUUUCCUCUCAAAAACAAGAAAAAAAAUGAUCUGAAAAAUCUGAAGUGCACAAUUGUUAUCAGGAUGGAAACCCAAGUAACAAUAAAUGAUUCAAUAUUGUGCAUAUAUGUAGCAUGCACAAAUUCAGAGCAUAUAUAGGGAGUAACGGAACAUACCAACUUCAACAUUCCCAGUUACGUAAAUCAGCAAGUCCACAACAUGGUUGUUGGUUAGUCCUAUAUAAAUUCAAUCUUGAUAAUGAUCUUUUCAGCAUAAAAUUUAAGUUCAGGGCUCCUAAUGGUUCAUAUAGCAUACAACAAGCGAGAUAGAAAUCAUCCCUUCUUCCCUAAAAAGAACUAGGAAUGUUAGGGAGAAGAAGAUCAAGGAAUGUGUUAUCUGUAAUGAGGAGAAGAGGAAUGACACAAAGCUCAUUCAUCAGCCCAUUCAUUGAGGAUCCUCAAAAAUUUUCACCAUAGUAAUAAGUUGUCCCAACCACUAGAGCAAUUGUAGCCCCUUGGACGACCACAUGAGCUCUCAUUAGUUUCUGGCCCAAA